rnacentral:rRNA from 1 species
AGAGUUUGAUCCUGGCUCAGGAUGAACGCUGGCGGCGUGCCUAACACAUGCAAGUCGAGCGAUUUACUUCGGUAAAGAGCGGCGGACGGGUGAGUAACGCGUGGGUAACCUGCCCUGUACACACGGAUAACAUACCGAAAGGUAUGCUAAUACGAGAUAAAAUACUUUUAUCGCAUGGUAGAAGUAUCAAAGCUUUUGCGGUACAGGAUGGACCCGCGUCUGAUUAGCUAGUUGGUAAGGUAACGGCUUACCAAGGCGACGAUCAGUAGCCGACCUGAGAGGGUGAUCGGCCACAUUGGAACUGAGACACGGUCCAAACUCCUACGGGAGGCAGCAGUGGGGAAUAUUGCACAAUGGGCGAAAGCCUGAUGCAGCAACGCCGCGUGAGCGAUGAAGGCCUUCGGGUCGUAAAGCUCUGUCCUCAAGGAAGAUAAUGACGGUACUUGAGGAGGAAGCCCCGGCUAACUACGUGCCAGCAGCCGCGGUAAUACGUAGGGGGCUAGCGUUAUCCGGAAUUACUGGGCGUAAAGGGUGCGUAGGUGGUUUCUUAAGUCAGAGGUGAAAGGCUACGGCUCAAC